UGCGUAGGGUGCGAGCGUUGUCCGGAAUUAUUGGGCGUAAAGAGCUUGUAGGCGGUUUGUCGCGUCUGCUGUGAAAAUCCGGGGCUCAACCCCGGACUUGCAGUGGGUACGGGCAGACUAGAGUGUGGUAGGGGAGACUGGAAUUCCUGGUGUAGCGGUGAAAUGCGCAGAUAUCAGGAGGAACACCGAUGGCGAAGGCAGGUCUCUGGGCCACUACUGACGCUGAGAAGCGAAAGCAUGGGGAGCGAACAGG
rnacentral:rRNA from 1 species